rnacentral:rRNA from 1 species
AAAAAUAAGUCUGAUGUGAAAGCCCUCGGCUUAACCGAGGAACUGCAUCCGGAAACUGUUUUUCUUGAGUGCAGAAGAGGAGAGUGGAACUCCAUGUGUAGCGGUGGAAUGCGUAGAUAUAUGGAAGAACACCAGUGGCGAAGGCGGCUCUCUGGUCUGCAACUGACGCUGAGGCUCGAAAGCAUGGGUAGCGAACAGGAUUAGAUACCCUGGUAGUCCAUGCCGUAAACGAUGAGUGCUAAGUGUUGGGAGGUUUCCGCCUCUCAGUGCUGCAGCUAACGCAUUAAGCACUCCGCCUGGGGAGUACGACCGCAAGGUUGAAACUCAAAGGAAUUGACGGGGGCCCGCACAAGCGGUGGAGCAUGUGGUUUAAUUCGAAGCAACGCGAAGAACCUUACCAGGUCUUGACAUCUAGUGCAAUCUGUAGAGAUACGGAGUUCCCUUCGGGGACGCUAAGACAGGUGGUGCAUGGC